UACGGAAGGCAGCAGUGGGGAAUCUUGCGCAAUGGGCGAAAGCCUGACGCAGCCAUGCCGCGUGAAUGAUGAAGGUCUUAGGAUUGUAAAAUUCUUUCACCGGGGACGAUAAUGACGGUACCCGGAGAAGAAGCCCCGGCUAACUUCGUGCCAGCAGCCGCGGUAAUACGAAGGGGCUAGCGUUGCUCGGAAUUACUGGGCGUAAAGGGCGCGUAGGCGGAUCGUUAAGUCAGAGGUGAAAUCCCAGGGCUCAACCCUGGAACUGCCUUUGAUACUGGCGAUCUUGAGUAUGAGAGAGGUAUGCGGAACUCCGAGUGUAGAGGUGAAAUUCGUAGAUAUUCGGAAGAACACCAGUGGCGAAGGCGACAUACUGGCUCAUUACUGACGCUGAGGCGCGAAAGCGUGGGGAGCAAACAGGGAUUAGAUACC
rnacentral:rRNA from 1 species